UACGUAGGUGACAAGCGUUGUCCGGAUUUACUGGGCGUAAAGAGCGCGCAGGCGGUCGAUCAAGUCGAGUGUGAAAGCCCCUGGCUCAACUGGGGAGGGUCAUUCGAUACUGAUCGACUCGAAGGCAGGAGAGGGUAGUGGAAUUCCCGGUGUAGUGGUGAAAUGCGUAGAUAUCGGGAGGAACACCAGUGGCGAAGGCGACUACCUGGCCUGUUCUUGACGCUGAGGCGCGAAAGCUAGGGGAGCAACAGG
rnacentral:rRNA from 1 species